GGCGACUGCGUGGCAGCACGGGCCGCUUCCUUAUCCGAAUUGAAAAGCAAGAACUACAACAAAAUGCCUCUUACCUAAAGUAGACCUUAAUAUGCAACUGAAAUUCAAUAAAGAUACAUUUUUUAAAGUCUGUUUUGUUUUUUAAUGUCCAAUUACCAAAUGGGUUAAGAGCACAUACUUGAAGCCCAGCUUUCUUGGUUAGCAUCUUGGUUCCACACUUACUGGUUAUGUGUGCAUAGGCCAGUUACUCAAUCUUUGUGUGCCUCCAUUUCCUCAGCUGUAAAGUGGGGGUAGUAGUAUCUACCUUACAGGAUUUU
rnacentral:lncRNA from 1 species